rnacentral:snoRNA from 1 species
CCCCUCUCAGGACCACACCUGGAGAGUUUCCAGUCCUCUACCAGUCUCGGCUAUGGGAGGGAGAGUCAAGCAGAGGCAUACCCAUUCCAUUCCUAGCUUGGACAAUGUCUGGCGAGUGGAAGGCAAGCUGCUACAAGU